UUCAGGAACAACAUGACUUCCAGAAGGGAUGUGCCUGUUGGAAUGGAUUAAUUUAGCUUUGUAAGAAAUGUGGUCCGCCGGAUUGGAAAGGCGAGACAAGCGGCGCUCUGUCUAAUCUUCCCUGCUGUGGUUCUGCGGUGAGGCAGUAGUCUUGUCAUCACUCAGGUGAGGUCGAAAUGCACACAAGCUGCACUCUCUGAA
rnacentral:lncRNA from 1 species